AAUGAACGCUGGCGGCAUGCUUUACACAUGCAAGUCGAACGGCAGCAUGACCUAGCUUGCUAGGUUGAUGGCGAGUGGCGAACGGGUGAGUAAUGCAUCGGAACGUGCCUUUUAGUGGGGGAUAACGUAGCGAAAGUUACGCUAAUACCGCAUAUUCUCUGAGGAGGAAAGCAGGGGGCCUUCGGGCCUUGCGCUAGAAGAGCGGCCGAUGUCGGAUUAGCUAGUUGGUGAGGUAAAGGCUCACCAAGGCAACGAUCCGUAGCGGGUCUGAGAGGAUGAUCCGCCACACUGGGACUGAGACACGGCCCAGACUCCUACGGGAGGCAGCAGUGGGGAAUUUUGGACAAUGGGCGCAAGCCUGAUCCAGCCAUGCCGCGUGAGUGAAGAAGGCCUUCGGGUUGUAAAGCUCUUUCGGCUGGGAAGAAAUCGCACUCUCUAAUACAGGGUGUGGAUGACGGUACCAGCAUAAGAAGCACCGGCUAACUACGUG
rnacentral:rRNA from 1 species